CUUUGGUUCUAUUUCGUUGGUUCUAGGACCGAAGUAAUGAUUAAUAGGGACAGUUGGGGGCAUUAGUAUUUAAUUGUCAGAGGUGAAAUUCUUAGAUUUAUGAAAGACUAACUACUGCGAAAGCAUUUGCCAAGGAUGUUUUCAUUAAUCAAGAACGAAAGUUAGGGGAUCGAAGACGAUCAGAUACCGUCGUAGUCUUAACCAUAAACUAUGCCGACUAGGGAUCAGCGGGUGUUUUUUAUGACCCCGUUGGCACCUUACGAGAAAUCAAAGUUUUUGGGUUCUGGGGGGAGUAUGGUCGCAAGGCUGAAACUUAAAGGAAUUGACGGAAGGGCACCACCAGGAGUGGAGCCUGCGGCUUAAUUUGACUCAACACGGGGAAACUCACCA
rnacentral:rRNA from 1 species